rnacentral:lncRNA from 1 species
CGCAGGAUGGAUCCGCGCAUGCGGAGCACCUCCCGUGUCAGCAUCCACCAGAGCAGUCCGAUGGAGUGCUGGCUCUUGUUGUUGCAUGGGAUGGCGAUGUCCACGUAGCGCAGGCUGGCAUCCGUGUUGCAGAAGGCUAUCACCGGCAGGUUGACGUACGAUGCCUCCGUGACGGGCUGGUGGUCCGCCCGCGGGUCGCACACGA